rnacentral:rRNA from 1 species
GGGCCCUCGAAAUCCUGUGGCGAGAGGAUUCAGUCUGGGGCGUCGGUCGUGCAGAUCGGAAAUCCGGUAGGGCUUCCCCGAGCGGGGGCCGUCCGGUCGCACGCAGCGCCGUCGAACCCGACGCAUUUGUCUCUCGUCCGAAGGACGCCGCAGCCGGCUGGGUAGUGCAAGCGCGACGACCUGAGGGGCGGAAGAUGGCAGGUGGCCGCUGGCGUGCCUCGUGCGCGUCGGCGGUUGUUAGCCGUUCCGUCAGUGGUCCGUCACCCGGCCGAGGUGUCGCGAGGCCCUUCGGGGCCUCAUCGCCUCCUCCUCGGAGUCGCGGGUCAGAGCGUCGCAGGUGGAGUCCGUCGUCCCGUUCGCACCCCUCCGGGGUGGUCGGGCGAACGGAAUCCUCCGUUGGUGGCGCCGGACCCGUUGGAGGCUGGAGGCUUGCGGCGAGUAGGUCGGUCACCCACCCGACCCGUCUUGAAACACGGACCAAGGAGUCUAACAUGUGCGCGAGUCAAUGGGUCUUGAAUAGGCCCAGGGGCGCAAUGAAAGCAAAGGACGGCCUCAGCGCCGUCCGAGUUGGGAUCCCCGCCUCCGGGCGGGGCGCACCAACGACCCGUCCUAUUCGGCUCGCCGAUUGGGCGGAGUUUGAGCGUACACGUUGGGACCCGAAAGAUGGUGAACUAUGCCCGGACAGGACGAGGCCAGAGGAAACUCUGGUGGAGGUCCGCAGCGGUUCUGACNNNNNNNNNNNNNNNNNNNNUUAAAUGGGUGAGAAGUCCGCCUUGCUUGAUCGAAGGCCGGACGUUCCGGAUGAGAGUGCCCAGUGGGCCACUUUUGGUAAGCAGAACUGGCGCUGUGGGAUGAACCAAACGCCGGGUUACGGCGCCCGAUGCGAGACGCUCAUGAGACCCCAUGAAAGGUGUUGGUUGCUCCAGACAGCAGGACGGUGGUCAUGGAAGUCGAAAUCCGCUAAGGAGUGUGUAACAACUCACCUGCCGAAGCAACUAGCCCUGAAAAUGGAUGGCGCUCCAGCGUCGAGCCCAUACCCGGCCGCCGCGGCAGAGCUCCGUCACGGAGGUUUACGCCGCGGUGAGUAGGAGGGUCGCGGCGGGGAGCGUUGAAGGUGCCGGGCGUGAGCCCGCCUGGAGCCCCCGUCGGUGCAGAUCUUGGUGGUAGUAGCAAAUACUCAAGUGAGAACCUUGAGGACUGAAGUUGGAGAAGGGUUCCAUGUGAACAGCAGUUGAACAUGGGUCAGUCGGCCCUAAGGGAUCGGAGAAAUCCGUUCCGAAGCGGGACCUUACACUCAGUAAAGCAGUCCCGCUGCCGACCGAAAGGGAAUGGGGUCAAUAUUCCCCAACCCGGACACGGAGAUAGGGCUCUCGGGCCCAAGUGCGGUAACGCAACCGAACUCGGAGAAGUCGACGGAGGACCCGGGGAAGAGUUGUCUUUUCUUUGUAAGGGUUCGUGUCCCCGGAAUCGGCUCGUCCGGAGAUAGGGACGCUGUCCCCGUAAAAGCACCGCGGCUCUUGCGGUGUCCGGUCCGCCUCNGUCGGCCCUUGCAAAUCCGAGGGAGAUGGUGUGAU